UUUGAAGAGAUUCCAUUUUGAAGGGCAAGAACCUAAUGUGAUGGAUUUAUCUUCAGAAAUGAACAGACAUGGGAAGAAUCCAGUGAGUCACAAGCUAGAAGAUCAGAAGAAGAUCCAGCAAGGAGCCUCCCAGAUGGAGUACAUGGAGACCAUGACUGUGAAAGAUGAGGAUCAAGUGCAGAUUUGGUGGCCUCUGAUUGCCAGUAUCUGGCAGCCACAUUCUCUUCCCACAAGAUGUGCUGGAAAUAUGACCAAGCAGAAGUUCACUUAAGUGAAUCCAACAGUUAAACCUACCAUGGAAGGGUGUGGUGCACAGAGGGCAUGUGGAGAAGAGAAGACCACAGUGGGAACCUCCAAGGAACUAACAUCUAGCUGGGGAUGAGGGGGGAUUUGGCUAUGUAGAGAGUAAAUAAAGUGAUAUGAG
rnacentral:lncRNA from 1 species